rnacentral:rRNA from 2 species
CCCCGAGAUGAGUUCUCCCUGAGACUUAGAGUCUCCUGAAGGAACGUUGAAGACGACAACGUUGAUAGGCCGGGUGUGUAAGCGCAGCGAUGCGUUGAGCUAACCGGUACUAAUGAACCGUGAGGCUUAACCUU